rnacentral:rRNA from 1 species
GACGAACGCUGGCGGCGUGCUUAACACAUGCAAGUCGAGCGGAGCGGCGAACGGGUGAGUAACGCGUGAGUAACUGCCCCCCUCUCUGGGAUAACAGUUGGAAACGGCUGCUAAUACCGGAUAGUGGGGGAUGACUCGCGUCCUAUGAGCUUGUUGGUGGGGUAGUGGCCUACCAAGGCGACGACGGGUAGCCGGACUGAGAGGGCGACCGGCCACAUUGGGCUGAGAUACGGCCCAAACGCCUACGGGGCGCAGCAGGGGGGAAUAUUGCACAAUGGGGGAAACCCUGAUGCAGCAACGCGGGGGCGGAAGGACGGCCGUCGGGGUGUAAACCGCUUUCAGCCAAGACGCGGUAGUGGCAGAAGAAGCACCGGCUAACUACGUGCCAGCAGCCGCGGUAAUAC